GAUGAACGCUGCGGCGUGCCUAAUACAUGCAAGUCGAGCGAAUGGAUUAAGAGCUUGCUCUGGUGAAUUAGUGGCGAACGGGUGAGUAACACGUGAGUAACCUGCCCUUGACUCUGGGAUAACUGCUAGAAAUGGUAGCUAAUACCGGAUACGACCCUCGGAGGCAUCUUCAGGGGGUGGAAAGAAUUUCGGUCAAGGAUGGACUCGCGGCCUAUCAGCUAGUUGGUGAGGUAAUGGCUCACCAAGGCGACGACGGGUAGCCGGCCUGAGAGGGUGACCGGCCACACUGGGACUGAGACACGGCCCAGACUCCUACGGGAGGCGGCAGUGGGGAAUAUUGCACAAUGGGCGCAAGCCUGAUGCAGCAACGCCGCGUGAGGGAUGACGGCCUUCGGGUUGUAAACCUCUUUUAGUAGGGAAGAAGCGAAAGUGACGGUACCUGCAGAAAAAGCACCGGCUAACUACGUGCCAGCAGCCGCCGUAA
rnacentral:rRNA from 1 species